CACGUAGGGUGCGAGCGUUGUCCGGAAUUAUUGGGCGUAAAGGGCUCGUAGGCGGUUUGUCGCGUCGGGAGUGAAAUCCACUGGCUUAACUGGUGGCUUGCUUUCGAUACGGGCAGACUGGAGGUAUGCAGGGGAGAACGGAAUUCCUGGUGUAGCGGUGAAAUGCGCAGAUAUCAGGAGGAACACCGGUGCGAAGGCGGUUCUCUGGGCAUGUCCUGACGCUGAGGAGCGAAAGUGUGGGGAGCGAACAGG
rnacentral:rRNA from 1 species